CCUAGGCUACAUACAGAGGACUGGUUCCUUGUUCUUCUGUCUAGGGGAAAGUCCCUGGACCUUGGGGCAGAGACUGCCGCGUGCAUGCACACGCAGACAUCCCUCUGUUUCUUACUCUUUUGUACACUGCUAUGAUUUAAUUUAAAAAAAAUUAAAAAUUAAAAAAAUUUUUAAAAAGGGCCAAGCAAGAGGAUGAUUUU
rnacentral:RNase_MRP_RNA from 2 species